CUUCGUGGGCGGCUACAGACUCAACAAAGGAGGGCGGCGGCGGAUACUGACUUGUCUGGCUAAUUAAAACUGAAGCGCUUGUGUGAGGGUCUGACACGGAGAGAGAGAGAGAGAGAGAGAGAGAGAGAGAGAGAGAGAGAGAGAGAGAGAGAGAGAGAGAGAGAGAGAGAGAGAGAGAGAGAACCCUUUUAACUCUGUAAGACAAGACUAAGAUUAAAAAAAGAGCAGGAGAAAAAUCAAUCCCUCAACACCUCUCCUAACAGUUCUUGGCCAUCGUGUGAGAAACCAUUGUAUAUUUUCCCUUCUGUAGGAGCGAACCUCAGCCCAGGCCACAACCUCCUGCCUGCCUGCCUCCUUCCUUCCUUCACUUCCCUUCGUGCGUGUCCUGCGGGGUGCUAAAUUUAUCCUCCGUGAAGGGCGUCGUCAUCCCUGUGGCACGAGAGAGAUCCUGCGUCAGGCGGGGAAGGGCUGACGUUUGGCAGGGGCGUGAAAGAGACGUAACCCUGCUGCCCCCUCCAGCAAAGAACACGCGCCCCCUUCACUGCCCGGGAAACUGACCUCUAUCGUGCCUUCCCAGCUCCUCACCACGGAUUGUGACUCAGGUGGCAGAGCGGAAGUGAGAGGGAGAGGGAGAGGCAGGCACGUUACCUUGCUUUAACUUGAGCUGUACGUGACUGAAGUCGUCUGUGACCUCGAGGUGGGGUGUGUGGCCGGCACGUCGACGGCAAGGUAGUGUUAUCCCACGUAUCUGCUGGCGCAAUGCUGUGGUAUCUUCACCUCUACUCCAUGAAUCACGACCAUGACUCACUUCACUCUCCCUCGCAGACAAGCCACUCACUCGUUCGUCUCUCCUUUACCCGCCAUCCCAUCACGUGUAGGACGACCUCAGCCUUUGCCUCCGCCCACCUGCACCAAUACAUCACCUCAGGAAUGUCUCCACGAAGGGGGGAAGAAGGGGGAAGGGCUUUUAACGCACGAGAAGGAGGAGUAAGAGGAUGAGAAAGAGGAGGGAUUAGAAGGACGACAAGACGGAAGAGAGAAAGAAGAGAUAGACAUGAAUAAGACUUAAUGGAAAGAUAAGGAGGAGGAUUUACAAUGUCAGUCUGGUCUAGUCUCAGGAUUUGGCACAAGGCUCUGGAUUCACUGCGGGGUGUGGAUGGAUUCCGUUUUACUGCAUCACGUGACAGCGGAACCUAGAUUAAUGGUAUACAGGUAGCGAGAAGAUGAAGGAAAAGGAUAGGUAAGCAAUAAAUGUCACGUGAUCUUACUGUUCUUGAUCCUUUCAGUGCCAGAGUAUCAUUUCCGCAAUAAUAUAGAUACAAUUAAAGGAUUUAUUAAAG